rnacentral:rRNA from 1 species
AGCGUAGACGGCAGUGCAAGUCUGAAGUGAAAGCCCGGGGCUCAACCCCGGGACUGCUUUGGAAACUGUGCAGCUAGAGUGUCGGGGAGGCAAGCGGAAUUCCUAGUGUAGCGGUGAAAUGCGUAGAUAUUAGGAGGAACACCAGUGGCGAAGGCGGCUUGCUGGACGAUGACUGACGUUGAGGCUCGAAAGCGUGGGAGCAAACA